GACGAACGUUGGCGGCGUGCUUAAUACAUGCAAGUCAACUGAAGCACCGGUAGUAAUACUGGUGUGGAGGUGGCGCACGGGUGAGUAACACGUAGGUAAUCUGCCUUCAGGUCUGACAUAACCCCGAGAAAUCGGGGCUAAUAGCAGAUGAUGCAGCGGCUUGACAUCAAGACAGUUGUUAAAGCUUCGGCGCCUGAAGAUGAGCCCUGCGUCUGAUUAGCUAGUUGGCGGAGUAAUGGCCCACCAAGGCUACGAUCAGUAACUGGUCUGAGAGGAUGAUCAGUCACACUGGAACUGAGACACGGUCCAGACUCCUACGGGAGGCAGCAGUAAGGAAUAUUGCUCAAUGGGAGAAAUCCUGAAGCAGCAACGCCGCGUGAGGGAUGAAGGGCUUUUGCUCGUAAACCUCUGUAGUGAGGGAAAAAAUUUCCACUCUGUGGAAUAUGAUGGUACCUCAAAACGUAAGACCCCGGCUAACU
rnacentral:rRNA from 1 species